CCUACGGGAGGCAGCAGUGAGGAAUAUUGGUCAAUGGACGCAAGUCUGAACCAGCCAUGCCGCGUGCAGGAUGAAGGCCUUCUGGGUUGUAAACUGCUUUUAUCAGGGAAGAAACCACAGAUUUCUAUUUGUGCCGACGGUACCUGAGGAAUAAGCACCGGCUAACUCCGUGCCAGCAGCCGCGGUAAUACGGAGGGUGCAAGCGUUAUCCGGAUUCACUGGGUUUAAAGGGUGUGUAGGCGGGCUUGUAAGUCCGAGGUGAAAUCUCCGAGCUCAACUUGGAAACUGCCUUGGAUACUAUAGGUCUUGAAUAUCGUUGAGGUAGGCGGAAUAUGUCAUGUAGCGGUGAAAUGCUUAGAUAUGACAUAGAACACCGAUUGCGAAGGCAGCUUGCUAAACGAUUAUUGACGCUGAGGCACGAAAGCGUGGGGAUCAGACAGGAUUAGAUACCCUGGUAGUCCACGCCCUAAACGAUGAUUACUCGACAUACGCGAUAUACAGUGUGUGUCUGAGCGAAAGCAUUAAGUAAUCCACCUGGGAAGUACGUCCGCAAGGAUGAAACUCAAAUGAAUUGACGG
rnacentral:rRNA from 1 species